AGGCAAGGAUACAAGGAUUUUUUAGAAAAAGCAAAAAAAUAAAGCCAGCGUGCGUGAAAAGUGAGCGCAAGGAGGCAGCCCGCUUCGGAGCAGAUCAAAGGGGCUCGUGGAGAUGCUGAGCGUGGUUUGGUUAAUACGAGCGCGGGAUUGCCUCAAAAGGAAAGAAAUGCUCUUGGCUUUUUUAAUGUCUCAGUCCUGUUUUAUACCGGCCCCGUGGAGGUAGGGUAAGAGCCUUCCUGAAAGCGAGGGCCCUUCCCAACCCCGGUGAGGACACGGAGACACAUCAUUUUAGCUUUUCACCACCUGUUUGGAAAGCUCCUAUAACCGAGUGCUAUGGGACUGGAUGGUUUCUACAGGACUCCAUUUUUCUGAACGUGCCGUGACUUUUGAGGACCACGCAUGGUUAACCAGCCCCAGGGCUCCCGAGUCCCUGAAUCAGCACGUCCGCCUGCAGACACCGAGCCGAGGGGGAGCGCUCCCCCCCCGGCCGUGACACGGCCAUGGCGGGGAGAAGUGCCCUUCUGCUCUGCCCUGGCUUUCAUCUGCAAAGCGUGUAGCUGCAAGUGCCGUGUGUUUACAAAUGCAGGCAUUGCAAGAUCCCUUGAACUGUGUCCUAGUACAAAAGAGGCUUUGAAACAAGAAACACGUUGUCAUGGCAUGUUCCAGGCCAGCAGCACCAGACUGAACCAGAUAAUUGCUGUUUCUGCUUUAGCUGCUUCAUCGUGGAAAAAGCAGCAGCUAUUGCCAUUACACCCAGUGCCUUUGGAAACGGCAAAACAGUAAAGCGCUGGCUGGGAAGG